GACGGAGGAUGCAAGCGUUAUCCGGAAUUAUUGGGCGUAAAGCGUCCGCAGGUGGCUGUUCAAGUCUGCUGUCAAAGCGCAGAGCUUAACUCUGUACAGGCGGUGGAAACUGAAGAGCUAGAGUAUGGUAGGGGUAGAGGGAAUUCCCGGUGUAGCGGUGAAAUGCGUAGAUAUCGGGAAGAACACCAGUGGCGAAGGCGGCUCACUGGCCCGUUACCGACGCUCAGGCGCGACAGCGUGGGGAGCAAACAGG
rnacentral:rRNA from 1 species